rnacentral:rRNA from 1 species
GGGGAAUAUUGGACAAUGGGCGCAAGCCUGAUCCAGCCAUGCCGCGUGAGUGAUGACGGCCCUAGGGUUGUAAAGCUCUUUCGCAGGUGAAGAUAAUGACGGUAACCUGAGAAGAAGCCCCGGCUAACUUCGUGCCAGCAGCCGCGGUAAUACGAAGGGGGCUAGCGUUGUUCGGAAUUACUGGGCGUAAAGCGCACGUAGGCGGAUAUUUAAGUUAGGGGUGAAAUCCCAGGGCUCAACCCUGGAACUGCCUCUAAUACUGGGUAUCUAGAGUCCGAGAGAGGUGAGUGGAAUUCCGAGUGUAGAGGUGAAAUUCGUAGAUAUUCGGAGGAACACCAGUGGCGAAGGCGGCUCACUGGCUCGGUACUGACGCUGAGGUGCGAAAGCGUGGGGAGCAAAC